UACGUAGGUGGCAAGCGUUGUCCGGAAUUAUUGGGCGUAAAGCGCGCGCAGGCGGUCCUUUAAGUCUGAUGUGAAAGCCCACGGCUCAACCGUGGGGGGUCAUUGGAAACUGGGGGACUUGAGUACAGAAGAGGAAAGCGGAAUUCCACGUGUAGCGGUGAAAUGCGUAGAGAUGUGGAGGAACACCAGUGGCGAAGGCGGCUUUCUGGUCUGUAACUGACGCUGAGGCGCGAAAGCGUGGGGAGCAAACAGG
rnacentral:rRNA from 1 species